rnacentral:tRNA from 1 species
GUGGCUGUAGUUCAACGGUAGAACUCAGGCCUGUGGAGCCUGCAGUUGGGGGUUCGAUUCCCCUCAGCCACCCA